rnacentral:rRNA from 1 species
UACGUAGGGUGCAAGCGUUGUCCGGAAUUAUUGGGCGUAAGAGCUCGUAGGCGGUUCGUCGCGUCGGCUGUGAAAACCUGAGGCUCAACCUCGCGCCUGCAGUGGGUACGGGCAGACUAGAGGUAGGUAGGGGAGAAUGGAAUUCCCGGUGUAGCGGUGAAAUGCGCAGAUAUCAGGAGGAACACCGAUGGCGAAGGCAGGUCUCUGGGCAUUAACUGACGCUGAGGAGCGAAAGCAUGGGAGCGAACAGG